UUCUAUUUUUAGCUCGGGUGUGUCUUCUCCAGCUGGAAAUUAUGCCUCUCCCUUGAAGUGUGGACAUGCCAAGGCCUUCCUGUGCCUGAUUUUGUGAUCUCUAAACAGAGAUCUCCCUCUCUGAUGCAGCCCCAGGAGAAAAAACAGCACUUGGAGCUCAUGUCUUAAUUAGCCGCCAGAAGAGUCAGACCAGGUGUGAGACAAGCUGUGGUCAGAGCUGAGGGACCUUGCACCACAACACAGAACUGAGUUUCAUGGUCACAGGCCAGUAACCAAGAAAGCUCCACCUCCUGCACACACAAGUCUGACUGUGGAGGCUGGCCUUUCCAUCACCCCAGUGGAACAUAUCUGUCAUGAAAGGCAAUGAUCCUGCAGGGUGAGGUGGUCCCUCUGGGAACUUGGGCCAAUCCUCUGGAAACCUUUGAAGGGCCUAUAGAUCUCAGUCAUGGCUCCAUCGUGCCAGGUACUGGACGCUCCCGCUACCCCAAAGAAUCUCAAUCUAGUAUUUAGACAAUACACAACCGGAGACCAGCCACACGCUGGUUUACAUAGCUGCACAAGUGAGUGACGGGACGUAUGGUGUUCCUUUCCUUGCAUGGGCUGCCCGUAUGACAAGCCACAGUGCCGCUGUUCCCCCUCCCACAUCGGUGGGCAGGGAGUGAGUGGAACUUUGACCGUGCCACACCCCUACGAAGGGCCAGCCGGCUCAUUCAA